rnacentral:lncRNA from 1 species
AAAGAAACAAAAGGCCACCUUAUCUUAGUUGAGUCAGUGUUAAGUCAGUGUACCUUUCUUUUCCUGUUGACACUUUUGUCUCUCUCCUGCUCAUUGGCCAGGUGCAAAGACAGAUCUUAUUGAGCUAGAUCUUGGUUUCUAGAAUAAAACCAUGGGUGUUCUCCCAAACUGCCUCUGGUUUUGCACUCUCAUUUAUUCUCCACCACCCCCCACUAUCUCUCAAACCUUUCACUAUAUAAGAAAACUCCCCCCUUUGUCACCCCAGAAAACCACAAAUUCAGACAAAAUCAAAAGUCUUGCACUCAUCCAAAUCCUCUCCAGCCUAAACUCUUGAGUUCAGGGAACCCCAAAAUCAAAAGAAGAAGAGAUAUGAGUUCUGCAAGGAAAGCUUGGUUGGUGGCAGCAACAAUUGGGGUGGUGGAGGCAUUGAAAGAUCAAGGGGUCUGUAGGUGGAAUUAUGCAUUGAGAUCAGUUCAACACCACGCCAAGGCUAACAUCAGACAGUAUUCCCAGGCUAAAAAGCUGUCUACCCCGUCUUCGUCUGCUUGGUCAAAGAAACUGAGAGAUGACAAGUUGAAGCAAUCUGAAGAGUCCUUAAGAAAAGUUAUGUAUUUAAGCUGUUGGGGUCCUAAUUAACCCCUCCUUUCUACAUUAUUUUGUGUAUAUAAUACUAAAAUUUCCAUCAGAAACAUGGCUCAACUUCCCUUUUCCUUUACACUUGUUGGAUUAUUGAGUGAAAAUUUUGGUUAUAAAUCAGAAUUGAAAGUGCCAACAGUUGCAAAUUCCAGAUGAAACCUGAUAAACAUAUUACACUGUAAUUUUCAUAUAGAGAUUAAAGCUCUAAAUCAAUGUUUGCUCAAAGACUUCCUAAUGCCUAUCUCAGUCAUAAAAGCAAGCAAUUAGGAUUUAAUUACAAUUAUGAACAUCUUGAUGCUUGGGUUAACCAUGUCCAUAUUAAGUUUGGGCUGGGCCAGUAUCCCAAGAAGCUGAAGCAUAUAUACUUUCUCAUUUUGCAUCAUUCUAAUAAUGAGAAAAGAAAUAAAUAGUGUAAAUCAAAAUAAUCGAUUAAAUUAAUUGAAUUCGAUUUUCAGCAGUUCACGGAUAGACCCAAACUUAUUUUCAGCAGGUAAACAGUAUGCUUGAAACUUGCUAGGAUUUAAAGGAAUACCAUUCAUAGAUCAGCAAGUUUAGCAGUGGAUUUGGGUGUAAAGAACUGCAAGGUGCUCUAAUUAUGGAACAAAAAAAUUGUAGUUUUCUGUUUGUAAUCAGAAGGCUAAAAGGAAAAAGAAAGAACCCUUUGGAUUUAAGACUAUUCAGCCAAAACUUCAUGGUUCAAUUCCUAUUGUGUAUGCAGACAAUGAGAAGAAUAUCAAAUUAUUAGAAACUUCAGCUGCAAUGCCAAUGCUGCAUCUUAACCUUUAGUACUACCUUUUCCAUGGACUAAAAAUUGUUAGUAUUGUUUUUAACAGACAACAGUCCUAAUAUACACUUUUUUUAAGAUCAUAAAGCUUAAGAAAUUCAGACUUAAAACUAGGAAAAUCUUAUGAUCUCUGAAUUGCUUGAUUAUUUAUGAUCAAACAAAUUCACCAAGUUUAACUGGAAGAUUUGCUAAUUUUACCAAUCAAAAUUUACAGAAGCAACAGUGUCUAGGUGAAUCUGAUGACAUUAUGCCAUUAUCCUUCUGAAGUUUGUUCAAAUCUCUGAAAGCUGAUUUUGGAAGAUUUGCCCCCUUUUUCCUCCCCUUUAUAGGCUGACAAAUGACAACAUCCUGUUUUAACUAUAUUUGGUUUUUCCGAAGCUAAAUCAGGGGCUUCCAUGAAACUGCACUUGCCAGUUGCCAGACAAUAAAAACAAGAGGCCACCCCUUGGUUGAGUCAGUGUAUCCUCCUUUUUCUAUUCACACUUUUGUCUCUUUCCUUGUCACUGUCCAGGUACAAAGACCGAUCAUAUUGAAGAAAUAAAUAAAUAAGCUACUCAUGAAAAUGGACUUGGCUCCUAGAAUAAUACCAUAGGUGUCUCCCAAACUGUUGAUAAAACUGCCUAUGUUUUUGCACUCUCAUAAAUUCUCCACCACCCCCCACUAUCUCUCACACCAGUCACUAUAUAAGAGAACUCCUCCCUUUGUCACCCCAGAAGACCACAAAUUCUCAGACAAAAUCACCAGUCUUGCACUCAUCCAAAUUCUCUCCAGCCUUAAUUCUUUAGUUCAGGAAAGCCCAAAAUCAGAAGGACAGGAAAUCUGAGUUCUGCAAGCAAAGCUUGGGUGGUGGCAGCAAGCAUUGGGGUGGUGGAGGCAUUGAAAGAUCAAGGGCUCUGUAGGUAGAACUAUGCAUUGAGAUCAGUUCAACGCUAUGCCAAGGCCAACAUCAGACAAUAUUCCCAGGCUAAAAGGCUGUCUACCCCAUCUUCUCCUGCUUGGUCAAAGAAACUUAGAGAUGACAAGUUGAAGCAAUAUGAAGAGUCCCUAAGAAAAGUUAUGUAUUUAAGCUGUUGGGGUCCUAAAUAGCCCCUCCUCUCUACAUUAUUUUGUGUAUAUAAUGCUAUAUUUCUAUCAGAAACAUGGCUCAACUUCCUUUUUCUUUACACUUGUCGGAUUAUUGAGUGAAAAUUUUGGUUAUAACUUACAAAUCAAAAUUGAGAGUGCCCACAGUUGCAAAUUCAUAUAAAAUUUGAUAAACAUGUAAACUGUAAUUUGCAUACAGAAAUUAAAGCUCUAAAAUUCAGGAUUAGCUCAAAGACUUCUUCACACAAGCAAGCAAUUGGGAAUUGAUUCCUAAUAUGGACAUCUCAUCUCUUUCUAUACGGAAUUUGGUACAUUCUCCCUCAUUCAAUUGCACCAUGUCCAUGUUAUACCAUGAUUAUUUCACUCACAGAGGUGACAUAUAUAUAAAUCUUAUUAAUAUUUUUAAAAUAUAAUUAAAAAAAAACUUUCCAUCCAAAACCGAAAUAACCAAUCAAAAUAAAUCGACUUCAUUUAUUUUUAUUUUUAAUUAUUGUUAUAAUGAGGAUAAUUUUUAUAUUUUUUAUGAUAAUUCGAUUAAUUCAGUUUUCAAAAUUAAAUCAAGACUUCUGCUUUUUUCUAGUUUUCCUACCCAGAUAUAAUAUAUAUAUUAUAUAUANUUAUUGUCGAUAAAAAAAAUCUAAAAACAAAAAUUAAAAAAUAAAUUCCAUCAAGGGGAAUAUUCAUCUUUAUGAUGUAUUUGACAAUGAUUAUUAAAUAAAUAAAUAACUCCAAUUUAAACCAAAAUCAUGGAAUCGACAUCUUUCCAUAUAAAUUAUUGAACCCAACCAAAAACAGUGCAAGUUGAUAUAACCUAAGACAAAAUUAUUCUACCUUUUGGCCUUAACUUAGGGAAUAUAGUUACUCAAAUUUGUCCAUUUUACAAUCCUAUUUUCUCUCUAUAAUUCUGUACCCAUGUUUUGUUAAUUUUCUUUAAUAGCAUAAGCUAAGCACUUGGCUUAGUACCCAAAAUUCUAGGAAUUCUAAUUCCUAAUUUUUUUAAAAUUUACAGUUCAAAUCCAUCUCAAACUUAAAUAUAAAAUAUUCAUAUUUUAUAUAAUCGAAUUAAAUAUUCACUUAUACUCACUUAAAGAGUAUCUAUUAUCAUCCCUAUAUUUGUUGUUUAAGCCUUUUUUUUUCUUUACAUAAUUUUAUUAUAUCCAUUAUCCUCCUUCACUUCCAUUUAAGGCACAAAUAAAAUUUCCACAGGGGCUUCCAUGAAACUACACUUGCCAGAGAAAAACAACAAAAGGCCACCUUAUCUUAGAUGAGUCAGUGUUAAGUCAGUGUAUCUUUCUUUUUCUGUUGACACUUUUGUCUCUUUCCUGCUCAUUGUCCAGGUGCAAAGACAGAUCUUAUUGGGCUAGAUCUUGGUUUCUAAACUAAUACCAUGGGUGUCUCCCAAACUGCCUCUGGUUUUGCACUCUCAUUUAUUCUCCACCACCCCCCACUAUCUCUCAAACCUUUCACUAUAUAAGAAAACUCCUCCCUUUGUCACCACAGAAAACCGCAAAUUCAGACAAAAUCAAAGGUCUUGCACUCAUCCAAAUCCUCUCCAGCCUAAACUCAUAAGUUCAGGGAACGCCAAAAUCAAAAGAAGAAGAGAUAU